AAGGUAGCGUAAUCACUUGUCUUUUAAAUGGAGACCUGUAUGAAUGGCAUAACGAGGACUUAACUGUCUCCUUUUCCUGGUCAAUGAAACUGAUCUGCCCGUGCAGAAGCGGGCAUAUUAACAUAAGACGAGAAGACCCUAUGGAGCUUUAGGCAAAUGAUCAUGUACACCAAACCCUCUCUUCAAUCAAAGCCUGGGGAAACAAACGCUAAUGAUCAACAUGCCUUCGGUUGGGGCGACCGUGGAGGAGAGAAAAGCCUCCAUGUAGAACGGGAAAACCCUUAAACUAAGACAAACAAGUCUAAGUAUCAGAAAUUCUGACUAAAUGUGACCCAGGCCUAGCCUGAUCAACGGACCUAGUUACCCUAGGGAUAACAGCGCAAUCCCCUCCCAGAGUCCAUAUCGACGAGGGGGUUUACGACCUCGAUGUUGGAUCAGGACAUCCUAAUGGUGC
rnacentral:rRNA from 1 species